AUGAAACACUACCAUCAUGACUACCAAAAGGAGAGACCAAGAAGAGAACUGAGCAUACCCGAAGAAGAAACUGAAUUUAAAACAAAUUUCAGCAGAAAGGUAACUUGUAAAACAAGGAGAAAGAUGAAUCCAAAACAGUUAAGCCUUGGGCCUAACAAAAUGUUUAGCAAAAAACUUUCUUGCAAAACAGGUGCUUCUUCAGACUGGGAAGCUACACUACUACAGAAACUAACACCAGGACGACGAUGCUAUUUGAAAAGAAUCAUGGAUACUUAUGAUUCUAAGCCUGAAUGGGAGAAACUGAAAAGGCAAUAUGCUCUCAGUCUCUUCUACAAAUAUUUCCUAGGUUAUGUUCCCAAAGACAAAAUCACAUCUUAUAUACCCCUUAUAAAACAUUAUUGUAAAAAACUACCUUUGAAGGAAAAAAAUAGAGAACCCAAAUAUUGGAAGACCUCUUCUUCUUUCCCGUCUUACAGAAGUCCUCCGCCUUACAGAAGUUCUACUUCUAGUUAUCCUUCUACUUCCAGUUAUACUGCGAGAAGAACUCUGAUCCCAUGUUACCCCUGUUACUGUACAUACUGUCAUUAGUGGACAAGGAUCUGAUGGAACAUGAAAAUUUCAAGAUGGAGCAUAGAAAUCAUGUAAGAUCUUUAAGCUACUUUAGGAAUGAUAUCUCCCUUCUCUGUUCACACUGAUUGUGAAGUAGAAUCAGGAAUAAUAGUUUUAAUGAGUUGUAUUAGUGUGAUAUAGAUUACAAACAAGGAAGCUUUUAAUCCAACUUGACAUUUGCCUGUGCAACAUAGUGGAAUUGGGAGAUGUAAGUAAAGGUGGAGAUGUAGCCCAGGAAAUAAGCAUGUCUCUAUGUAUCUAAAUUGCACCAGGAAUUGUUGUAAAAUAAAAUCACUUUAAAGGUUGCA
rnacentral:lncRNA from 1 species